GCGCAUCAUCUCCGACACUUGGCUUUGCUUGGCUGCUCCCUAACUGAAGAGCUGCUGGAGGAGUUAACUAUAUCUAAACACGAUAUAUGGGAGUCAAAGCGUC
rnacentral:miRNA from 1 species